AUGUCUUGUUGGAUCGUGUAUAUAUGGACCUGCGCGUGCAUGCGUCCCACUUGUUUAGGAGAAAUUGAUGGGGUACGCCGGAGAUUUGUCCGGGUUGAAGAGUCCGAAGUGCCUCUCCGUCUCCGCUCCCGUCUUCUUGUCCUCGUUGAACAUGGCGAAGAUGUAGGUCUCGAUGGCGCCGGGGCGCUUCGGCGUGCCCUGCCCGACAUGGUUGAUGAGGUUCUGGUUGUAGGUCUGCGCGUUCCCUGGUGUGGCGGCGUCGCCGCCGUCCGACGGCCACCCGCUCUCGGACACGACGACGCCGACGUUCCCGGCGCCGGCGUUCUCGAGCGCGGACACGAAGGUGUCGACGAGCGCGUCGAAGAGGUUCUGGUACGCGUUGCCGUCGUCGUCCUGCACGACGGUCCCCGGCGACGUGAAGAGCGCGUAGCUGAGGGCGAUCUGGGCCUCGUUGCCCGUGUAGGAGAAGUAGGGGUAGACGUUGCAGAGCAGCGGGGCCCCCGUGCUCUGCAGGUACUGCGCGAUGGGCCCCAUGUAACCCUGCGAGAAGCUGCCCUGCGACGGCGGGAAGCCCUGGGUGACGCCGCUCUCCACCGCCGUGGACACCUUGAUGCCUCCGAGCCCGGCGUUGGCGAGCGCGGAGUUGACGUUCUGCAUGGCGGGGAGGAUGCUGUUGGUGUCCCCGCCGGAGACCUCGUUGCCGACGGCGAUGUACUUGAAGUUGACCCCCGGGAACGCCUGCAAGUUCCUCUGCACCCACGUCGCCGCCGCGCUCGGGUCGGAGGCCAGCGAGGAGAGGUCCGAGUUGGGCACGUCCAUGAUCACGCCGAUGUUGCUGCCGCUCAGCGCGUUCAGCGCGUUGGUGUCCGGGAAGUAGAUGCGCAUGAGGUUGAUGCCGUUGGACUGGUAGAGCUGCACCACGUCGCUCGCCGGCGGCAGGUUGUCGCCGUUCACGCCGUAGCACACGCCGAUGGAUUUGACUCCUGUACGUACGUACAUAAGUGUCAAUAAUGCAUGCAUAUCAGCAUAUCGCGGUGAUCAGCAUUGCACCUAGCUAGAGUAAUGUAUGAUGCGUGAUGCAUGAAAAUCUGAUCUGACCUGUAGGAGUGGCUGGAAAUGCUCGGAGCAGCAAUGCCAGUGCAAGCAUGGAAGCUACAAGAAGCAAUGCCAGUGCAAGCAUGGAAGCGACAACCUGCUUCGACAUCUUGGAAGGAUCAGGAUCAGGAUCAGGAUCAGUUGCGCUACUCCUAUAUGUUUGCAGCAGCUACAGACAGGUAACUGUAACCGAUGCUACACUGGACUGCACUCCACUGCAUGCAAUUCACCGAGGCAUCGAGGCAUAUUUAUAUAGCUAGCUAGCUAGGCAGGGGCACGGCGGAGGCAAAUUCUGAGAGAUGUGCCGUCUCUCUGAUCGCCCAGUUUUAGCGGCACCAAUGCAAUACCUCGUUCCGUUAACAGCUUACACCGGAAGCCGCCGAGACGUACUGAUCUUGCCGCGGCAGCGACAGAUGAAGACGUAGACCUGACCUCGUCGCGAGCAAGCAUGUUGGGUGUUGGCUUUCUCAAAUCUGCGGUUGGACUUCGACGUCAUCGAGCACUCAGGAGCUACCGCAACGCGGGCUCGGCGUGGCGAUGCUCGAGCGGUUCUGUUGCAGGGGCGCGCGACCACCUGCUCGAGCUGUUCGCUGUGGUCCAGGAUGGUGAAUUUGUGAUAGAGAUGUCAACUCUGCUAAUUAAUGGGUUUUCUUCUUGAAAUAAUCUCUAGUAAAACUCCAAAUCAACCCCCAAAUGCAUAGACAUCAAUCUUUCUUUGUUGACCUUCCUGUAUGAAAAAUAUUCAGAACCCAAGUACCUCGACAGUAGCAGUUUUUCAUAUCUGAUGUAACUGUGAGUUAAUAUACUAGCUAACUGCUAACCAAAGUCUUGAGAUGAUACAGAGUCACAGAUCCAAAAGGUUCCAGUGAUGUCGGUACAUGUUAGCAAAGGAAGUUGAAACUGACACUUGCUUUGCUAACCCAAAAUCACACGACUGAAUGAAAUUUCCACUAGGUAACAAUGUCACAAAGGAUCAACAUCGGCAAAAGUGAUGUUACAAAUGGUUUCCCAAUCGCAUUACUGCUUCCGUGUCAAGCUGAAUAAGAACUUGUGAUCACUCUGUAGUUGACAUGUCGUAUCACCUGUGAAUUUGUGAUCACUGCCCUACGAAUAUAGGCCUUGUUUAGUUCACCCUGAAAACCAAAAAGUUUUCAAGAUUUCCCGUCACAUCGAAUCUUCUAGCACAUGCAUGAAACAUUAAAUAUAGACGAAAACAAAAACUAAUUACACAGUUUAGUUGUAAAUCAUGAAACGAAUCUUUUGAUCCUAGUUAGUCCAUAAUUGGAUAAUAUUUGUCACAAUCAAACGAAAGUGCUAUAGUACCGAAAACUUUUCACUCUUCGGAACUAAACAAGGCAAUAAAUUAUAUUCCUUUACCCAAUGCAGACUUUGAACACCAGAUAAUCCAUUUCAACGGGUGGAGGUGGAUGAUGCAGACUGGGCCUGGUGGCGGCAAAUUCACUAGGGCCAGUAGCGCGCUGGGUGGCCCUGUGUCCUGGCAGCGUCAUCCCCGUUCACGGCGGACAGCUAGAGCAGCGGGGCGCCCUCGCGAUAUGGAGCCGCUCGAGCUCUGCCAUGUCGUCGAGACCGUGCUGUGGCGUCUUCUUGUGUCGACAUCGCAGCUGAUGCUGGCAUGAGCUAGCGCCCUAUGAAUGUCAUGAUCUGCCGGCCUCGUUUUCGCACACAUCUUUAGGUGGCUUCUGACGAAAGAAAACGCUUUGCCGUUCACGACUAACCUGAAAUUAAUCACUUUAUAGAGAGAUUGAGAGGAAAACACUGUUUAGAAUUAAACUGCCAAAUUAAGGAGUCUUCUUCGUCAAACAAACUGUAGAGGCUAACUAAAUUACUUCUAACUAGAGGUUCAUCAACCAGUUAUCAACACACCUUCUGACUUUCCACCCCCAAAGAUUAGCCACCGUUUCCGACUUUCCAUGGACCAGAAUAUAAAUUUCCCAAAAAUGUAUAGCUCAACUAGAGUUUCCCAACCAGUUAUCCUUUAAAAACUUAAUCUUCUUCUUGUUACCUAUUUCCUGUCUGAACUCCAUUUUCGCAGCAGAGGCUGCCCACAGCAAGCCUUUAAAAAAUGGUGAAGUCAUGCACUCGUGCUAGCAGUAUUGUAUUUAUAGUCAACAACAAUACAACAUGGCUACUUAACUUACUCCACAAGGCUAACAGACACUUCUUUAAAUCUCUCAAAUUUGGUACCAAGCCGCCCAAAAUCUUUGAACAUACUACUAACACUCUCCCAAUUUGCAAGAUGAUAUGUUCUAAUUUUGAACCGAAUUUUAAUUGAUUAUAAUGAGAUAUUACUCCCAUUUAAUAAUGAUCGAUGCACAUAAUGUCGAGACGAAAUUAGGAGAAAGCAUAUAACUACAUGGGCAAAGAAGAAAUAAAUCAAGAAUGUACUUCUUGUUAUUCAUUUUUAUGUAAUAAUCGAAGCACUUGCCUUACAUGGAUGCACUUUGCAUUUUACAGGCAGUUUAUUCAAUGUUUUGGUAUGUAGUAUAUAAGGUAUAUAUGUGUAUCUGUAUGGUAUCUCGUAUAGUUAAAUUUUAUGUCUUGUUCGAUCGUGUAUAUAUGGACCGGGCCGCGCGAGCGUCCCACUUGGUUGGUUUUUAGGAGAAAUUGAUGGAGUACGCCGGCGAUUUGUCCGGGUUGAAGAGUCCGAAGUGCCUCUCCGUCUCGGCUCCCGUCUUCUUGUCCUCGUUGAACAUGGCGAAGAUGUAG
rnacentral:lncRNA from 1 species